rnacentral:rRNA from 1 species
AUUGAACGCUGGCGGAAUGCUUUACACAUGCAAGUCGAACGGUAGAGGGGGCAACCCCUUGAGAGUGGCGAACGGGUGAGUAAUAUAUCGGAACGUGCCCAGUCGUGGGGGAUAACGUAGCGAAAGUUACGCUAAUACCGCAUACGAUCUAAGGAUGAAAGCGGGGGACUCGCAAGAGCCUCGCGCGAUUGGAGCGGCCGAUAUCAGAUUAGGUAGUUGGUGGGGUAAAGGCUCACCAAGCCAACGAUCUGUAGCUGGUCUGAGAGGACGACCAGCCACACUGGAACUGAGACACGGUCCAGACUCCUACGGGAGGCAGCAGUGGGGGAAUUUUGGACAAUGGACGCAAGUCUGAUCCAGCCAUUCCGCGUGCAGGAUGAAGGCCCUCGGGUUGUAAACUGCUUUUGUACGGAACGAAAAGGUUUCUAUUAAUACUAGGAGCUCAUGACGGUACCCUAAGAAUAAGCACCGGCUAACUACGUG